AUUUAGAUAGAGCCUCUCCAU
rnacentral:piRNA from 1 species